GUCUUGUAGAGGGGGGUAGAAUUCCAGGUGUAGCGGUGAAAUGCGUAGAGAUCUGGAGGAAUACCGGUGGCGAAGGCGGCCCCCUGGACAAAGACUGACGCUCAGGUGCGAAAGCGUGGGGAGCAAACAGGAUUAGAUACCCUGGUAGUCCACGCCGUAAACGAUGUCUACUUGGAGGUUGUGCCCUUGAGGCGUGGCUUCCGGAGCUAACGCGUUAAGUAGACCGCCUGGGGAGUACGGCCGCAAGGUUAAAACUCAAAUGAAUUGACGGGGGCCCGCACAAGCGGUGGAGCAUGUGGUUUAAUUCGAUGCAACGCGAAGAACCUUAC
rnacentral:rRNA from 1 species